rnacentral:rRNA from 1 species
GCGGGGAGGAGCUUGCUUCUCUGCCGGCGAGUGGCGAACGGGUGAGUAAUACAUCGGAACGUGUCGAGUAAGAGGGGGAUAACCACCCGAAAGGGUGGCUAAUACCGCAUAAAUUCUGAGGAAGAAAGCUGGGGACCUGGGAAUAGGCCUAGCGCUUUUUGAGCGGCCGAUGUCGGAUUAGCUAGUUGGUGAGGUAAAGGCUCACCAAGGCGAAGAUCUGUAGCGGGUCUGAGAGGAUGAUCCGCCACACUGGGACUGAGACACGGCCCAGACUCCUACGGGAGGCAGCAGUGGGGAAUUUUGGACAAUGGGGGCAACCCUGAUCCAGCCAUGCCGCGUGUAUGAAGAAGGCCUUAGGGUUGUAAAGUACUUUUGUUAGGGAAGAAAAGUCAGCUGUGAAUAAUGGCUGAUACUGACGGUACCUAAGGAAUAAGCACCGGCUAACUACGUGCCAGCAGCCGCGGUAAUACGUAGGGUGCGAGCGUUAAUCGGAAUUAUUGGGCGUAAAGCGAGUGU